AGCCCUUUAAACAAUAUAAACAUGGGCCUACUACGAGUCGUAAAUCACAUUGCCGCCGUAAUUGGCUCGCCGCAGCUUUUACAUUGUUGAUGGACUCAUGGGCUCCUGGUAUUGCGAGUGAUGAAUGCCCGAUGUAAGCGUCCAGCCUGUCGGUUUUGCUCCUUUUGUCGGAAUAAUUGACUAUGUGUAAACACACAGACCACC